UACAGAGGGGGCAAGCGUUGUUCGGAAUUACUGGGCUUGAAGCGCACGUAGGCGGCGUUGUAAGUGUCGGGUGAAAUCCCACGGCUCACCCGUGGAACUGCCCGGCAUACUGCGAUGCUAGAGUGUGGUAGGGGAGAGCGGAACUCCUGGUGGAGCGGUGAAAUGCGUAGAUAUCAGGAGGAACACCGGUGGCGAAGGCGGCUCUCUGGUCCACAACUGACGCUGAGGUGCGAAAGCUAGGGGAGCAAACGGG
rnacentral:rRNA from 1 species